CUAGCCAAACCCCGUCGCCUCCCAUCGCCGCCCAUAUCGCCGAUUCUCUAAUACCCCGCCGCCCACAUCCUAGACAAACCCUAAACCUUCUCUAACCCAAUUCUCUAAAACUCGAUUCUUUAAUACCCCGCCACAUCCCCUAACCAAUCCUAACUUUUGUAGAAGAUAACGAAUCUAUUUGAAGACAACGAAUCUAUUCGCUAUUUGUAGAAGACAAAUUCGCCUCCUUCUCCGUGAUCAGCGGAGAAGCUUCUGGAGUAAUAACUGUUUUUAUCUUGAAGUCGAAUAACUAUAAACCACAAAGUGCAUCUCAAAGUCAACGCGCGCGAGCAGACGUCUCAAAGUCAACGUACGAGUUCGACGUGCCGUCUAACAGGCACGUAGUUAGACGUGUAGUCUAACAUCCACGAAG